rnacentral:lncRNA from 1 species
CGCCAGGUCCAUAAAAGAAAAGAAAAGCAAGGAGGCGCUAGCCCCUUCCCCCUUGCAGCCGCCAACCAGAUUGCUCCCCUCCUCUCUUGCAGCCACCCAAAUGUCAGGUCCAAGCUUAAAAUCUCUUGCGAAGAGGUUGGUACAAGUCUCUCUCAGAUCUGGAGUUGAUCUGAGAUCGUUUGAGGCAUGGAUGAGAUCUCCAUCAAUAGAUCUACAAGAAAGGCUGCAGCAGGACAGAUCUGCAAGGUCUGUCUCCAUCUACCUUCUUUCCUAUCUAGAAUAUCCUGAUUUAAGAUCUAUAAAUUGAAAGACCUCAGUCCAGGUC